rnacentral:rRNA from 1 species
ACGAACGCUGGCGGCGUGCUUAACACAUGCAAGUCGAACGGUGAAGCUCCAGCUUGCUGGAGUGGAUCAGUGGCGAACGGGUGAGUAACACGUGAGCAACCUGCCCCUGACUCUGGAAUAAGCGCUGGAAACGGCGUCUAAUACUGGAUACGAGAAGGGUCCGCAUGGGCACUUUCUGGAAAGUUUUUCGGUUGGGGAUGGGCCCGCGGCCUAUCAGCUUGUUGGUGAGGUAAUGGCUCACCAAGGCGACGACGGGUAGCCGGCCUGAGAGGGCGACCGGCCACACUGGGACUGAGACACGGCCCAGACUCCUACGGGAGGCAGCAGUGGGGAAUAUUGCACAAUGGGCGAAAGCCUGAUGCAGCGACGCCGCGUGAGGGAUGACGGCCUUCGGGUUGUAAACCUCUUUCAGCAGGGAAGAAGCGAAAGUGACGGUACCUGCAGAAGAAGCACCGGCUAACUACGUG